ensembl:lncRNA
AAAAGAAGCUAGUGACAAAGCAAUCUGACAGGUAGGGCAGGAACCAGAUUUGGCAGUGCCAGGAAGAUAAGAUGGAGGAAGAAAGUGGACAUUUAGCUUUCCCUUUUACUUUCCAGCACCUGAGUCCCUUUGCUCCAUUUGGGAAAUUCCUCAUCAUACUAUAUGCAGAGCCUGAUCACUUUCCCCUGCUGCAUUGCAGCUAGAAAGCAGGGGCAAAAUCUAGACUCUGCCAAUUAGACAUUCAUUCCCCAGGCUCUGAACAAGAAGCUGGGGGUGCUGCAGGAUACACUCUGCAGUGAACAAUGAGGGCAGCAUCUGGUUCCCCUAGUGUUGGUACCACCAACAAUGUAAGCAGCAACACCCAGGGCUGGCAGCAGAUUCAAUGGAUCAAUUUCCAGCAUGACUGGAGGACUUACUCUUUGCUUUCUGGCCUCCAAACCUGGCUCCAUGCCCUCACCCUAUGUGCAUCCCAUCACCCUCCCCCCCAGAUUAUUUGAGCUAAUCAAUACCUUUGUGUCCCUUUUCUUCUUAAAUCAGCCAGAGUGACUUCUGCUGCUUGCAACUAUGAACUAUGGCUAAUACAAAAAGUUGCCAACAAUGUACUGCUGAUUAUUGCAUUCAAUUUCAUGAUUUGGUUAUUUGUGAUUUUUAGAUGGCUAUCUAGUAAUGGGAAUAAAAUAUGAUUAACAGUGGAAAAAAGAGUGAGUUCGAUAAUAAUACUUACCUAACCACAUGUCUGAGAUCGAUAUUGUGCUAACCAACAAUAUUGAUUUGGUUACAGAGUGCUGGAGGACUCAUCACAGUCCAGUUGUGAAAAGCCUGAGACCUUUUCUUGUUCAGAGCUACAUCGUAUGUAUUAGGACCCAAGGUGACAGAACAGCUUCUACCUGGGACAUUAGCAGUUGCCAUAGCAAGAUGGGAAGAAUACAGCCAACUAUACAUCACUUUUGCUCACAUUUCACUGGGAAAAGGAAGUUAUGCAGACACAUGUGGGUGAUAGGAUGUGUCAUCCUUUCUAGGUGAGGUCACCAGAGGCAGGUCACUGAAUAUGAUUAAACUAUAUUAUAGUCUAAUGCAUGCUGUUACGUUCUUUUUAUAUCAACCCUGGAGAACUUUAGAAAAGUUAGACUCAAAGGAGAUCUGGAAAUGGAGAAAUACAACUAAGGACAUAUUCCAGCCCCAGAUAUGCUUCAUUAUCAAAUACUCAAAGAAAGAAAGAAAGAAAGAAAGAAAGAAAGAAAGAAAGAAGAAAGAAAGAAAGAAAGUUAAAAGGCUUAUCUUUGCUCACAAUAUGUCCAUCUGAAGUGGUCUAAUCUAUGGUGUCCUCAUCCAAGACGGAGGCUUUCACCCCCACAUCUGCAACAUGGUGGACCCAUGGCAGGGAACGAGAACAUAGAAUUUGUACAUUCUAUCUAAAGACUUUCACCAAGAAGUAACACAUGACACUUCUACUCCCAUUCUGUUGACCAAAGUAGAUCACAUGAAUAUGUCCAAAUUUAAAGAGAAAGCACUAUCCCACAAUGUGCUUGGAAGGAGGAGAACCAAACCACAGUUGAACUAACUGAUGACUACCACAGAAAGUAUUGAAGCUGCCCUGGGUUGAGCAAUGGAAUAAGAUUCCAGAAUCUACUGACCACCUGUGACUGCUUUGGCUAGAUUGCAAAGAAUAGGGGACAAUGGAAAAAAAAAAGUAUACCUUUUGUAUGUCUCUUCAAUUUUAACUUCUCUGUAGGGAAAAAAUAAAAGGGUUAAAGUUUCAUAUGUUGAUGCA